UUAACAUGGAGGCUGCUAUCCCAUGUGGCAGCCAUCUUAAAGCAAGGGAAAUCUAACAAGAUGGAUCCUCUUAGUUUCUCAGAGGGGCAUCUGUAAAGCCCUUGUUAGGCCUGAUAAGAGGCAGUUCACUUGAUUGUCUGGGCCUUUCCCACUUUUCCCUUGGGGCACUAACUCUGGCCUUUUCUCCUCAGGUGGGGUUCAGGGCUCCCUGUCAUCUGAUCCUGCUUCCCUGUGAGCUUGCCUCUGCAAAGGCAGGUAUGGCUCAGCUAUGAGAGUCUUGCAAUAUGCCUUCAAGCAGGGUUGUAAUCAGCUUCCACGUGAGAUGCAGGCAGCCCACCGUGGCUUCAGGGAAGGGUUCCUGCCCCUUCCCUUCCUCUCCCACCUAAGGGAGCCCUCUCUAAAUUCUUUGCAACACACCUGGCAGAAGCUGACACGUAAAGGAUGAGCAGUGCCCAAGUGAAGAGGAUGGAGACUUGGCCAUACUGGACAAAUACAAGAAAAUCCACAGAGGUCCUUCCUCAUGCAAGCAGCAGCGAAGCAAUCAUGAGAAUUGAAGUGGAAUGUGAUGUGGAAUGAGGCUGCAGCUGGAAGUGGUAGCAACUCCGAACCAUUCACUUUCAAGGGACCACUGAGAUCUGGGCAAUGCAGCCACCAGCAGUGACCACAGUUAACAACAUCAAUAAAAGUAAAUGUUCCGGGCCACAUUAUAGCCCAGGAAUUUCAUAUAAUCCUGGGAAAAUAAUGAGGAAGGUUCAUAAUGACCAAAAUAGAAUUUCU